CGCCCAACAGCUAGCCCACCUAAACAAUUUCAACAAACCCCUGUUAAUACCCCCUAAGUACCCUAGUAUUUAAAUUAAACAAACCAUUUUUCCCCCUUAGUAUAGGCGAUAGAAAAGGGACCCCGGCGCAAUAGAGAAAGUACCGCAAGGGAACGCUGAAAGAGAAGUGAAAUAACCCAGUAAAGCCUGAAAAAGCAGAGAUUUAAACUCGUACCUUUUGCAUCAUGAUUUAGCGAGUGUACCUCAAGCAAAGAGCACUUUAGUUUGACGUCCCGAAACUACGUGAGCUACUCCAAGACAGCCUAUUAAUAGGGCGCACCCGUCUCUGUGGCAAAAGAGUGGGGAGAGCUUUGAGUAGAGGUGACAAACCUACCGAACCUAGUUAUAGCUGGUUGUCCAAGAAAUGAAUAGAAGUUCAGCCUCUUGGCUUCUCUUUUCACCCUAGUUUAACCCCUAUUGAUGCAUCAAAGAAACCGAGAGAGUUAGUCAAAGGGGGUACAGCCCCUUUGAAUCAAGACACAACUUUACCAGGCGGGUAAAGAUCAUA
rnacentral:rRNA from 1 species